AGCUCUCAGAAAACCCUCUCUUCUCCAUGAACAGCCUUCACAUUUCACAUAGGGUACCCAAGAUGAGAAAAACAGAUCCCCCAAGAAAACAAGGAGAGAAAAACACAGAGAGAGAUCCAAUUCCCAGAAAAACACCAGUUCUUGAAGCAGACAGUUUUGCUUUUAGUUCACUCAUCAUCAUCAUCAUCAUCAUCAUGCACCACUAACUGCUGAAGCUGCCAGCAUGAUCUGAGCUUUCAAUGGAAGAAGCUGUCAGAUCAUCUGGCAGUUUCAACUGUUGCUGGAAGCAUGAGAAAUCUCAAAACCGAAAAGAAAAACCCUACUUUUUCUCUGAUCUUCACAUUGAUCUAGCCGUUCACAAUUUCAAGGACCCCUCUUGAGAUAAGGUUCGGCUGAUGAAUAUCGGCUUGUUUAAAAAGGGUUUCACAUUCAUCUUGAAUGCAGUGGUCUUUUGCAGUCAGGUGCGACAAGAAAGUUUCCUCCUUACUGACUAGAGAAGCAGCGAUACAUGUCCAACCGGCUCUGUAUAAGCCUAUGUCGCUCAUAGCCAUAAUAAUUGACAUGAGCAAAUCCGUUAGUUUUGUGUUGCAGCAACUCGCGCAUUUAUACAUGAAGAUCAUGAUAUAGCAGGGUUUCUUCUCAGGGUUUUAUUUUACAAGUUUUGCUUGUUCCGACGAUUGGUGUAGCUAGAUUUGAGAUGAUGCCUUUACAAGGUAUAUGGCUGAUUGUCAUGGGGGUUGUGAAUUUUUCGAACCGUUUUAUAGGUUCUACUUUUUUCCAGCUAAGUGUUUGCACAAGGUGGAAUUUUCUUGUUGAAGUUGUAGAUCUAUUGCGAUUAUGUUACGAAAUUCAUUGUGGCUGAGAUAUUAAAUCAGCAGGGCAUGAACUAAUCACCAUCUUCUAUUUCUUC